GUUGAACGCUGGCGGCAGGCCUAACACAUGCAAGUCGAGCGGAUGAAGGGAGCUUGCUCCUGGAUUCAGCGGCGGACGGGUGAGUAAUGCCUAGGAAUCUGCCUGGUAGUGGGGAUAACGUCCGGAAACGGGCGCUAAUACCGCAUACGUCCUGAGGGAGAAAGUGGGGGAUCUUCGGACCUCACGCUAUCAGAUGAGCCUAGGUCGGAUUAGCUAGUUGGUGGGGUAAAGGCCUACCAAGGCGACGAUCCGUAACUGGUCUGAGAGGAUGAUCAGUCACACUGGAACUGAGACACGGUCCAGACUCCUACGGGAGGCAGCAGUGGGGAAUAUUGGACAAUGGGCGAAAGCCUGAUCCAGCCAUGCCGCGUGUGUGAAGAAGGUCUUCGGAUUGUAAAGCACUUUAAGUUGGGAGGAAGGGCAGUAAGUUAAUACCUUGCUGUUUUGACGUUACCAACAGAAUAAGCACCGGCUAACUUCGUG
rnacentral:rRNA from 1 species